rnacentral:rRNA from 1 species
CCUACGGGUGGCAGCAGGGGGGAAUAUUGGGCAAUGGAGGCAACUCUGACCCAGCAAUGCCGCGUGAGUGAUGAAGGUAAUUUUAUGGUAAAGCUCUUUUCUUUGGAACGAAUAAAUGACGGUACCAAAGGAAUAAGCUCCGGCUAACUACGUGCAAGCAGCCGAGGUAAUACGGGGGGGGCAAGCGUUAUACGGAUUUAUUGGGUUUAAAGGGUGGGUAGGCGGAAGGUUAAGUCAGCGGACAAAGGUCGGUGCUAAACACCGGCCUGCCGUUGAAAAUGGUCUUCUUGAGUGCGCGAGAAGUAUGCGGAAUGCGUGGUGUAGCGGUGAAAUGCAUAGAUAUCACGCAGAACUCCGAUUGCGAAGGCAGCAUACCGGCGCUCAACUGACGCUGAGGCACGAAAGCGUGGGGAUCGAACAGGAUUAGAUACCCUUGUAGUC